rnacentral:rRNA from 1 species
AGAGUUUGAUCCUGGCUCAGAUUGAACACUGGCGGCAUGCUUUACACAUGCAAGUCGAACGGCAGCACGGGUGCUUGCACCUGGUGGCGAGUGGCGGACGGGUGAGUAAUACAUCGGAACGUAUCCUAAAGUGGGGGAUAACGCAUCGAAAGAUGUGCUAAUACCGCAUACACUCUGAGGAGGAAAGUAGGGGAUCGAAAGACCUUAUGCUUUUGGAGCGGCCGAUGUCUGAUUAGCUAGUUGGUAAGGUAAUGGCUUACCAAGGCAACGAUCAGUAGCUGGUCUGAGAGGACGACCAGCCACACUGGGACUGAGACACGGCCCAGACUCCUACGGGAGGCAGCAGUGGGGAAUUUUGGACAAUGGGCGCAAGCCUGAUCCAGCCAUACCGCGUGAGUGAAGAAGGCCUUCGGGUUGUAAAGCUCUUUCGGACAGAAAGAAAUCGUGCAGAUUAAUACUCUGUAUGGAUGACGGUACUGUAAGAAGAAGCACCGGCUAACUACGUGCCAGCAGCCGCGGUAAUACGUAGGGUGCGAGCGUUAAUCGGAAUUACUGGGCGUAAAGCGUGCGCAGGCGGUUUUGUAAGACAGGCGUGAAAUCCCCGGGCUUAACCUGGGAACUGCGCUUGUGACUGCAAGGCUAGAGUGUAGCAGAGGGGGGUAGAAUUCCACGUGUAGCAGUGAAAUGCGUAGAUAUGUGGAGGAAUACCGAUGGCGAAGGCAGCCCCCUGGGCUAACACUGACGCUCAUGCACGAAAGCGUGGGGAGCAAACAGGAUUAGAUACCCUGGUAGUCC